rnacentral:rRNA from 1 species
CGAAUGCUGACAUAAGUAACGAUAAAGCGGGUGAAAAGCCCGCUCGCCGGAAGACCAAGGGUUCCUGUCCAACGUUAAUCGGGGCAGGGUGAGUCGACCCCUAAGGCGAGGCCGAAAGGCGUAGUCGAUGGGAAACAGGUUAAUAUUCCUGUACUUGGUGUUACUGCGAAGGGGGGACGGAGAAGGCUAUGUUGGCCGGGCGACGGUUGUCCCGGUUUAAGCGUGUAGGCUGGUUUUCCAGGCAAAUCCGGAAAAUCAAGGCUGAGGCGUGAUGACGAGGCACUACGGUGCUGAAGCAACAAAUGCCCUGCUUCCAGGAAAAGCCUCUAAGCAUCAGGUAACAUCAAAUCGUACCCCAAACCGACACAGGUGGUCAGGUAGAGAAU